rnacentral:rRNA from 1 species
AAUGAACGCUGGCGGCAGGCCUAACACAUGCAAGUCGAACGCACCGCAAGGUGAGUGGCAGACGGGUGAGUAACGCGUGGGAACCUUCCCUUUGGUUCAGGAUAGCCCCGGGAAACUGGGAUUAAUACUGGAUAAGAUCUACGGAUGAAAGAUUUAUCGCCGAAGGAUGGGCCCGCGUAAGAUUAGCUAGUUGGUGAGGUAAUGGCUCACCAAGGCUUUGAUCUUUAGCUGGUCUGAGAGGAUGAUCAGCCACACUGGAACUGAGACACGGUCCAGACUUCUACGGGAGGCAGCAGUGGGGAAUAUUGGACAAUGGGCGAAAGCCUGAUCCAGCAAUACCGCGUGAGUGAUGAAGGCCUUAGGGUUGUAAAACUCUUUCAGUAGGGAAGAUAAUGACGGUACCUACAGAAGAAGCACCGGCUAACUCCGUGCCAGCAGCCGCAGUAA